GGUCUUUGAACGGUUUUUAGAUUCAUCAAUCAGGAAUCCGAACCAGCCCUGCUUUAACAUCUCUAUAAGCUGUAGCUGGUUCAUUGAACCAAUUUAUGUUCACCAACCAGGAAGAUGAACAUCUUUUCAAUGAAGUAACCCAUCCCACUUUAAUACCUGUAUGAGGUGCAGUUGAUAUUUGGGCUACAGUGCAAAUCGUCCUUUUUAUGAUGCAAGAACCUGAACCUCUCUGCUUUGAAAUCUGCCCUGUCCCGCUUUAUCACCUCCAUGAGCUACAGCUGGUAUUUGGGACACAGUGGAGCUAUCUGCGCUUCAAGCUGUACAAUGCAAAUCAUCAUCUAUAUAAU